AGUCGAGCGACAGAUGAGAAGCUUGCUUCUCUGAUGUUAGCGGCGGACGGGUGAGUAACACGUGGGUAACCUACCUAUAAGACUGGGAUAACUCCGGGAAACCGGGGCUAAUACCGGAUAAUAUUUUGAACCGCAUGGUUCAAUAGUGAAAGACGGUUUCGGCUGUCACUUAUAGAUGGACCCGCGCCGUAUUAGCUAGUUGGUAAGGUAACGGCUUACCAAGGCGACGAUACGUAGCCGACCUGAGAGGGUGAUCGGCCACACUGGAACUGAGACACGGUCCAGACUCCUACGGGAGGCAGCAGUAGGGAAUCUUCCGCAAUGGGCGAAAGCCUGACGGAGCAACGCCGCGUGAGUGAUGAAGGUCUUCGGAUCGUAAAACUCUGUUGUUAGGGAAGAACAAAUUUGUUAGUAACUGAACAAGUCUUGACGGUACCUAACCAGAAAGCCACGGCUAACUACGUGCCAGCAGCCGCGGUAAUACGUAGGUGGCAAGCGUUAUCCGGAAUUAUUGGGCGUAAAGCGCGCGUAGGCGGUUUCUUAAGUCUGAUGUGAAAGCCCACGGCUCAACCGUGGAGGGUCAUUGGAAACUGGGAAACUUGAGUGCAGAAGAGGAGAGUGGAAUUCCAUGUGUAGCGGUGAAAUGCGCAGAGAUAUGGAGGAACACCAGUGGCGAAGGCGGCUCUCUGGUCUGUAACUGACGCUGAUGUGCGAAAGCGUGGGGAUCAAACAGGAUUAGAUACCCUGGUAGUCCACGCCGUAAACGAUGAGUGCUAAGUGUUAGGGGGUUUCCGCCCCUUAGUGCUGCAGCUAACGCAUUAAGCACUCCGCCUGGGGAGUACGACCGCAAGGUUGAAACUCAAAGGAAUUGACGGGGACCCGCACAAGCGGUGGAGCAUGUGGUUUAAUUCGAAGCAACGCGAAGAACCUUACCAAAUCUUGACAUCCUUUGACCGCUCUAGAGAUAGAGUCUUCCCCUUCGGGGGACAAAGUGACAGGUGGUGCAUGGUUGUCGUCAGCUCGUGUCGUGAGAUGUUGGGUUAAGUCCCGCAACGAGCGCAACCCUUAAGCUUAGUUGCCAUCAUUAAGUUGGGCACUCUAGGUUGACUGCCGGUGACAAACCGGAGGAAGGUGGGGAUGACGUCAAAUCAUCAUGCCCCUUAUGAUUUGGGCUACACACGUGCUACAAUGGAUAAUACAAAGGGCAGCGAAUCCGCGAGGCCAAGCAAAUCCCAUAAAAUUAUUCUCAGUUCGGAUUGUAGUCUGCAACUCGACUACAUGAAGCUGGAAUCGCUAGUAAUCGUAGAUCAGCAUGCUACGGUGAAUACGUUCCCGGGUCUUGUACACACCGCCCGUCACACCACGAGAGUUUGUAACACCCGAAGCCGGUGGAGUAACCUUUUAGGAGCUAGCCGUCGAA
rnacentral:rRNA from 1 species